rnacentral:rRNA from 1 species
CGUGGGUAACCUGCCCAAGAGAUCGGGAUAACACCUGGAAACAGAUGCUAAUACCGGAUAACAACAGAUGAUGCCUAUCAACUGUUUAAAAGAUGGUUCUGCUAUCACUCUUGGAUGGACCUGCGGUGCAUUAGCUAGUUGGUAGGGUAACGGCCUACCAAGGCGAUGAUGCAUAGCCGAGUUGAGAGACCGAUCGGCCACAUUGGGACUGAGACACGGCCCAAACUCCUACGGGAGGCAGCAGAC